UCAUGCGGCAGCUAGGUUAAUGUGAAGGUCAGGGUUAUGAUCAGUAACUGCUCAGCCUCUCAACAGACUGCCGGGGUAGGCUCUGAGUGACCCACUAACUAGGGAUAAAAUUACAAAAAUUACAAGAAGGCUCAGCCUCUUCAAAUGUUUAACCCCUGGCUUAAGCACAGAAAUCCAAGAUCUAGGGCUAUCUCUGCUGGACGCAGAGGUGAAGGCUCAGGUUUUCCUUCACUUUUAGAAUAUCAGAUCAGGCUGCACACCUAAGAAAAGGCCCCCAGGACCUUCCCUUGAAUUAGUAAGUGUAGAGCAGCCACAGGGGAACCUCACUGAGGCUUUUCAGAGCCAGGAAAUCCUUGAGCUAAAUCUCUGGGCUCUGGACGUGUUUUUCAGUGUCCUUACUACCCAGUUCAUCGACCAGAAAUUGAGGGCAACAGAGCUGUGUGUCUCCCUUCACCUCAGCAUUCUCCUAUGUGGUCACAACCCACUCUGUGAUGUCACCCCUUUCCAUGGUAACAUGCUAGCAUCACAGCAACCAGCUGAGCAGCAGCCACAGGCGAACCAUGGGAAAGGAGAAUCCCCACUACUAGCACCAGGCAUUUCACUUCUGUACAAGCAAGAUGGCGCGCCACACGGGCGUCUGAACCUGACCCACCUCCUGGCAGCUGCAACAAGGGACGCUGGAGCAUUCGGAACCUAGACUGGUUCCUGGAGGAGGAAUUUUUAUCAAGGAUGGGAAACUUCAAGUAAGUGCAAUUCCUGUUCAGCCUGGACAGUGUGUUCAUUUCGUGCUUCGGACAUUUUUCAUAGGACACUACUCAUUCUGAGGAUUUCUUCCUCCAAUAACUGAGUUUAUACACUGAAGAUCACCACUGUACCUUAAGGUGUGAACACAUUAAGAACAAAGUGGCCUAACGAACUGCAGUUCAUGUUUCAUCUAAACGUGAGUGAACACGUUUCUCCUAAGAAUGGAAAAAAAAAGAAACUAUCUUUCGGAGAAUGCUAGGUUGGUGUGUUAGAAAGAUUUCUCUAACGAAGUAUGUCAGGGACCAAAGUGGGCCAGAAUGAAAAUGGAACUCCAA